UGAGGAAUAUUGGUCAAUGGGCGAGAGCCUGAACCAGCCAAGUAGCGUGCAGGAUGACGGCCCUAUGGGUUGUAAACUGCUUUUGUAUGGGGAUAAAGUCAAUCACGUGUGAUUGUUUGCAGGUACCAUACGAAUAAGGACCGGCUAAUUCCGUGCCAGCAGCCGCGGUAAUACGGAAGGUCCGGGCGUUAUCCGGAUUUAUUGGGUUUAAAGGGAGCGUAGGCUGGAGAUUAAGUGUGUUGUGAAAUGUAGACGCUCAACGUCUGACUUGCAGCGCAUACUGGUUUCCUUGAGUACGCACAACGUUGGCGGAAUUCGUCGCGUAGCGGUGAAAUGCUUAGAUAUGACGAAGAACUCCGAUUGCGAAGGCAGCUGACGGGAGCGCAACUGACGCUGAAGCUCGAAGGUGCGGGUAUCGAACAGGAUUAGAUACCCUGGUAGUCCGCACAGUAAACGAUGGAUGCCCGCUGUUGGUACCUGGUAUCAGCGGCUAAGCGAAAGCAUUAAGCAUCCCACCUGGGGAGUACGCCGGCACGGU
rnacentral:rRNA from 1 species